rnacentral:rRNA from 2 species
UAGUAACUGCGAGUGAAGCGGGAAAAGCUCAAAUUUAAAAUCUGGCGGCUUUGGUCGUCCGAGUUGUAUCCUAGAGAAGUGUUUUCCGCGUUGGACCGUGUAUAAGUCUCUUGGAACAGAGCGUCAUAGAGGGUGAGAAUCCCGUCUUUGACACGGACUACCAAUGCUUUGUGAUACACUCUCAAAGAGUCGAGUUGUUUGGGAAUGCAGCUCAAAAUGGGUGGUAAAUUCCAUCUAAAGCUAAAUAUUGGCGAGAGACCGAUAGCGAACAAGUACCGUGAGGGAAAGAUGAAAAGCACUUUGGAAAGAGAGUUAAACAGUACGUGAAAUUGCUGAAAGGGAAACGAUUGAAGUCAGUCGCGUUAGCUAGAACUCAACCAGGCUUGCUUGGCGUAUUUUCUAGUUAACGGGCCAGCAUCAGUUUUGACCGCAGGAAAAAGGCCAGGGAAAUGUGGCACCUUCGGGUGUGUUAUAGUCUUUGGUCAUAUACUGCGAUUGGGACUGAGGUUCGCAGCACGCGCAAGCUGUGCUUAGGAUGCUGGCGU